rnacentral:misc_RNA from 1 species
ACAUAUUUGUAACCAAAGCCAAUAAGAUUGACGUGAAUAGACUAAUCAAAGUCAAAAGUUGAAUGUAUAUACGUCAGCCGUGCUUCUCAUUGUUACGGUGUCAUUCAGAAAGUACAGACGUUCGAAGGUUUGGAAUUGAAAUAUCAUAUCACUUUGUGUAUAAGAAUAAAAUUUGACAAACGUAUAUUGUUAAUAAGAUUAGUACUGGAGCCAAUUAUCCUUUGCUAGAAGGAAAAAACCAUAGAAAAUCUCACAAUGAAUGUUAUACGACAAAUAAUAUGGACUAUUAUCUGUAUGCUUUUAAUUUCUGGCACUGUAAUGCAUAAUACGUCAAACAGUACAAAAAAUGAAAUAUACAAUAAAAAUGUUCAAAAUACUACAAGCACCAAAACUUCGAGAAAAUUAUCAGAAGUAAAAAUCAUCCAUAUAAUAUCUUGUGUCCCACUCUUUAUAAUACUUUUAUAUAUUAUUCUAAUUUUUAUAACUCACUGUUAUAAAUAUUGUCGUGAAAUGAGACUUCCAGAGGCAGCCCUGCUUCAUCUAAUAACUGUAAACAGACUGCGCGAAAACCAACAGCACGAAAACCAGCAGCAAGAAAAUCAGCUGCAAGAAAAUCAGCAGGACGAAAACCAGCAGCGCGAAUUGCUGCCUGCCCUCUGUGCAAUGUUGCGACCGGGCAAUGAGACAAGGAACUUGUAGGUUCUCACAAUGCAUGUUAUAAAGCAAAUAUUAUGGAUUAUCAUUUUUAUGUUUUUAUUUUUUGGUAAUGACAUGUGUGUUGUGUGUAUUAUGAUACUAAAUACAUUAUACAAUAAAGAAAAUGAAACAAGCGAUAAUAUUCAGAAUACUGCAUCAAAUAAUAAAAUCAGAAAAUCAGAAAAAUUUAGGGAUUUAUUCCGUGUAAUAGUGUAUAUACCGUUUUUCAUAAUUAUUGCUGUUAUAUUUCGGUGCUACAAAUUAUUUCUUGUACUCACGGAUCGUGAGCCGGAAAAUUUGACCAUUUCUUGGGUGGCCACAGAUUCAAUCGAAUUCGACAUGCCACAUGGCAAUCGACUUCAACAUGACAGACCGAGCAAUGAAAGAGAGCAUAUAUCUUAAUGAUGAGAUACAAUGAAAAUCACACAAUGAGAAUCACGAACGUCUAAAGAUAAACAUAUUCAUGGACGAAACCAAUACGAUUCAUGCGCAUAGACACAUCAAAGUCGAGGACUACUUGUGUGUAUUUAAUAAGCCGAUUGCUUCUCAAUGUUACCGUGUCGUUCAGAAAACGCAGACGCUCGAAAGUUUCGAAUUGAAGUAAAGAGUCAUAUAGCAUCUCACAAUGCGUGCUAUAAAGCAAAUAUUAUGGACUGUCAUCAUUAUGUGCUUAAUUUCUGGUAUUAUAAUGCAAUAUACAUCAAACAGUGAAGAUAAAACAGAAGAUGAAAAUAAUGUGUAUCCUAUAUCAAAAUCUAUACAAAAACAUGAAGAUUUUCCUCUAGAAACUAAAAUAACUCUCAAAAUCAUGCUUGAAAUUUUUCUUUUCAUAUUUAUAGCCCGUUUUGUUUUUCAAUAAUAUGUCCAGUAUGUGCGAUGGGGUGCAAAGAUAGUAUAGCGAUAAUCACCUCUACUCAGCACAGACGACACCAUGAAAACGUGCUGCAUUCCAUCAUCGUAUUUAGACGUAAUAUAACUGAAAGAAAUAGAUUCGUCGAAAUUUAUUUCAAGAUUCUUGUCAAGGACAGCAUAUAAGAGUUAAUGAUAUGAUACACACAAUGAGAAUCACGGACGUGUAAGGAUAAACAUAUUUGUGGACAAAGCCAAUAAGAUUCAUGCGAAUGAGCACAUCGAAGUCGAGAACUUAUGUACAUUUAAUAACCCGAUUGCUUCAUUGUCAUAGUGUCGUUCUGAAAACGCAGACGUUAGGAAGUUUCAAAUUGAAGGAAAAAACCAUAGAAAAUCUCACAAUGAAUAAUAUACGGCAAAUAGCGUCGACUAUCAUCUAUAUAUUUUUAAUUUAUGUUUAUAUGGAGUUAAAUAUGUUAAACAGUGAACAAAAUAAAACACACGAUGAUGAAAAUUUUAAUGAGAAGAUUAUAACCAUAAUGUUAAACAUUAGGUUUUGGAGAUGUGUUGGAGUGUACCUAAUAGUUAUCACAAUUAUUAAUUGUUUGUUUCAAAUAAUGUUUGAGGACGAUAUAGUCGAAGGUAUUUACGAAGAUGAUGUCCUUCCUAGGAAUUCGAAUUUAGACGCAUUUAGAAGGGACAAUAAUGAGAAUAAUAAAAACGCAGAAGAAAAUUCAAAUGAAAGAAGUGCAGAAAACGCAGAAGAAAAUUCAAAUGAAAAAAGUGCAAGAAACGCACAAGAAAAUUUAAAUGGAAGAAGUACAAGAAACGCAUAAGAAAAUUCAAAUGGAAAAAGUACAGAAAACGCAGAAAAAAAUUCAAAUGCAAGAAAUACAAAAACACAGAAGAAAAUUC